GUGCCGCGGUGGCGUAGUGGUGAGUGCGUCUGCCUAGUGAGCAGGAGACGUGGGUUCGAAUCCCGGCCUUGGUACA